UCAAGAUCUUACUGAUACUGAGCAGGGAAGAAAAACCAGGUCUGUUGAAAUCCAAAGCCCGGUCUCUGUGUCUUGUAAGAAAAAAGAACUUAAGUUUAAAAAAAUGUCUUUUCUCUUCCUCACAUAUUGAACUCUACUUCAUUCAUUUUUUUCCCCCUGAGGAAUUGUCAGCAAGUGCCUCUUGUCAAACACCAGGAUCAUGAAGCAGUUCAAAAGCACAUGGAUGUCCCAUUAAACAGCUUUACUAUAGAAUAGCUAAUAAUUACAAUAAUUAUUGACAGUUUGAUAUAUGCUUUGUGCAACGUGCUUUCCAUGCAUCAUUUUGUUCUUGCAACAACUUUGUGAGGUAGGUUGUUUCAGGUGAGGAAGAUGCAUUUCUGCAAGGUUAAACCACAUGCCCAAAGUCACAUAGCUCACAGAGGCAGAGCCAGGAUACAAACCCACUUUUACCAGUGUGUUUAACCACUGUGCUAUACUUUGCAUAGCCCUAUAAUCCUGCUCGACCUAAGCUAUCUGAAAAUCUUGAGAAGAAAAUAAACAGUUUUCCCAGCUUCUUUUCUGCUUUUACAAGGCAACCACACUGCCAAUAGACGUUUCUGCAAGAAUACAUUUACUUUUGCCAGGACAAAAAAGGAAUUAACUUAAUGUGGUGCCCAUCUGUUUGCCAACAAAUUAUAGCAUCUUAGUUUGGAAGAGAUUGUAGCAGCCAUCUUGUUCAGGUUUUCUUUCCCAGACUGGCCUCCCCAAGCAGAGGUUAUUCAACCUUUGUAGAGAAACCUCCACUGAUCUUGUAAUGGCUCACCUCGGCAUUGCUCCAAUUGUUAGAGAACUCUUCCUUUUUAUUGAUUUUCUUUGUUGUUUUUUUUUUUGUAACAUCAUUUUAGCAAUUCUAGGUCUGUCUUCUGUAGAAGUAGAAGCUUUGACAUCACAGAGAUCUGGGUUGAUAUCCUCCUGACUGGAAUAUUGUUUAUCCUUGCCCAGUUCGAGUUUGCCUCUUACUAAGAUGAACAAGAGCAUCUCUAAUACUAUAGGGUCAAAGUAAGAAUUAAAGGAAAGGCUCACAACUCUAGUACAAAUUCCCAAGGGAAUCCAAGUGAUUUGGUUAGACGCUAUUACUUUAGGGGUAAAACUUUUGAAGCAAGUGACCUCAUAGGCCACUCACUGGAUUGGAGAUAGUUUGCCUGUCUUUGUAUCAGGUGCCCUGUUGUGCUCAAGGACCAAGUGUCACAUGAUAGAAUGUCCCAUUUUAAGAGUAUGCCAUGGGUGUACCUCAUCAGAGACUGCACGUCUUUCAGUUACCUUCUGUAGAGGGCCUCAGACAUGGUGGUAACAGAGCGUAGAGUCCCGUCUGGUACCCACACUUAGUUUGGUAUAUAAGUGCUCAAUAAAUGUUAGUUCAUUUGACUCUUUCUUAUUCCACUAGCCAGGCUUUCAAGUUCUUAGAGACGGCGCUCACUCAAUUCAAUUCAUCAAAUACUCACUGAAUGUACUGUGUUUGUAUUAGUUUCCUAACUCUGCUGCAAUUCCCCCGAUUCAGGGAUGCAUCUUCCAAUUCUUUAGUCUUAUUCUGUAGCCCUUAGAUAAUGACAGAUUCCAAACGGGACAAGCCUUCAACAUUUGACAAUCACCCCAGUUGAUUCCAAUAUACCAUUACACUGAAAUCUUCAUUCUUCAAUGAAGGAAGCAGAAUUAUGUCACCAAGUUAUUUUUGGGCCUCCACAAUUUCUAAUAGCCUUCGUUGGAUGGUGAAUGGCUGAAACUUUUAAAUCUAGUAGAGGCUGCACUGGGAUACUCUGGAGGCUUUUGACUGGCUUUCUACUCUUCUACAUUUUCUGUUGCCAUAGUUGAGACUGUGUCCUAAGCUACCUCAGCUUCUAGUCAAAUUGUCAAAGUUUAGUGCACAUAAGAAUCUCUUGGGGACAUUUUGCAGAUCCCUAGACUUCAUCCCCCAAGGAUUCUGAUUUAUAUGGACCCUCAGAGUUGACUUUUUAAAAUAAUAAUCCCCAGGUUAUAUCAUCGUUUUUGAGAAGCAUAGAGCUAGGGUAAAUGUAAGAACCCUUAGAUUGUCAGCUCAGUGAUUUUCCAUGAAAGUAACCUUGCUAUGGGUUCAGCAGCGAUCAUCUUCCUGGAUUCAGAUUCUGGGCUCUUAUUUCUUCCUUGUGAGAAAAUACUUGCUUUUCGCCCCAAUGUUGACCCUUGUCUUGUAACUACUUCCCCCCCAACACACACCUCUCAGAAACUGGGAACUUGGCACUGAAUCCCAGUCCAUUAUGACUAGGUUCAUGUUCUCUGUACUCAAGAUAUGGAGUUCUGGACCCAGAAUAAAGUAAGGGGCAGGUAAUUGAUUAGAUGAAGAUGCAAAGGCAGAAUGUCUGAUUUGGUGUGGCAUCUCCGGUGUGAUAAAAUUGAACCAGAAACAAAGUAAUUGAACCACUGGCACCAUCCCUGCAAGUUGUUUUCCUUGAAUUUUUCUUCAUUACUCAAAUUGCUCUUUGGGUUGUUAGCUCAUUUGACCCUUAUUUUUGGUUUUAUGGCUCUGGAUUUUGAAUGUGUAAACUCCCUGACUCUCUGGCCUGACCAUGUACCACAUCUAGACUAUGUCCUAGUUUAAUGUUCUGUCAUGUAUUCCUAUUGAAAACUGAUAUAAUGAUAAUAAUUAUGGUGGUCCUGCUACUAAUACUACUAAAUAUCUGUAGGGUACAUAUUAUCAAUAUAUGUUUUACAUUCACAGCAAAUAUCUGAAGUAAGUCCUAUUUUUAUUCCAAGCUUUAAAUAAAGAAACUGAGGUUAGAGCUAUACAGCUGUUAAGAGGCUGAGCCAGAAAGGAUAUGCAGGCAGUCUCACUCCCGGAGCUGUGCUCUCGUCAAGCACAUUACAUUGUUCAUUUCCAUCGCUACUAUACCUGCCAUUGCUCACUGAGUGACAAAGAAGUCUCCAAAAAUCUUCCUUUUUCUUUAAUGUAUAUGGUAAAUGGAGAUAGGGGAUGAAAGUUCCCAAUAAUUCCUUUUUGGAACUCCUUGAGCACCACUGAAUUUCAACAAAAUUUUUCCCCCAAAGAGCAUUUUUGAAACCAUGACAUUCCCUGUUAUCUCUCCUAACUAGUGAGAUCAUCCCAAUGAUUCUGGGGGGGCUUCAUUGCAUUUUAUCAGUGGCGCCUUUGUUGUACAAUUUCCACUUUUGCUCUUGAAGAUACAAUAAAAGAUUUAUGCCUGAUGGACUAUGAUGUGGUUUGCAUCUAAGAGAAAAACAAUUCCUUCCAAAAAAAUACCAUAUCCCCAAAUGAUUUCAUAAUUGCAAACAGUGUUGACGAGCUCUUUGGCUUAAAUCAGUUUAUAACAUAUUUGCUGUGUUUUUGUGUAGAUAUGUUUUGAUGUGCUUGCUAAGGAAAAAUAAUUAAAACCCCUCUGCCAUUUCUAAUUGAGAAGAAAGAAAUGUAACCCAUUAGUUGAUGUCUACCAUAAUAAGAUUUUUUUCUCCCUCAUUUCAUUCCAGAUUUGUUUCAAGGAUUAACUUGCAUUAAAUGGUUUCAGGUCUGAACGUCAACCAUGUUUCUCAUUAUUGGAGAUCAAAAUGGCUUAAUUCCCUUUGUGUGUUGGUGCCACUAAAACACAAGGGAAUCUUAAAACUACAAACCUCUGAUAGAAGCACCACAUUUUCCUCGUCAAUCUGCCCAGCAGAGCUUGUGUUUUUCCUCCAUUUACUGCUGGAAAAAUGCUGUGUGCUGACAAGUUUUGGGGUUCUGGUGUCAUGCACAGGCUAGGCAAGACUUCCUUUGAAUCUAGUUACUGUUGUAUUUUCAAAUAUGUUGAUGUGAACUUUGCUUUCUAAUGCUCCUUGAGUCAACUAUUGUCUUUGAUCUUUAAACAGAAUGUGGCCAUCCAUCUAGUGGACUGGUAAAGGACUAGCAUCGAGGUUAAUCCAGGGGCCUCUGGAUUUAAACAGACCUGACUUUAAAUUCUCAUUCCACCACUAGCUAUAUAACCUGGGUCAGUUUUGAAAACUUGCCUUGUCUGUAAAAUGGAGCUAAUGAUAGUACCUAUUUAUUGGCUGUAGAGUGGCAUACAAGAGCGCAUGCAUGUUAAAACAUUGCUGAGCAAAGGAGAACGUGUUAAGUGACCAGUUAGUUCUACUGUUAUGUUACCCUAUUGUAGAGACUAUUACCCAGAGUGUUGUAUUACCCAGGAUGAGUUGGAGUCUCAUUCCCUGUCUGGUAUCUGGGUUGGCCUCAGUGACUUGAUUAGCCAACAGAAUGUGGCAAAAGGGACAUUCUGGGACUUCUAAGGCUGAGUAAUAAGAAGCCUGGCAGCUUUUGUCUGGGUGUCUUGGAAUGCUUGCUCUGGGGAAAAUCAGCUGCAUGCUGUGAGAAGCUCAAGCCACAUAGAAAGGCCAUCGAUAGGAGCUCAGGUUGACAGCCCCAGCUGAGCUCCUGGUUGUCAGGCCAGCCAUGUGAGUGAGUCAUCUUGGAUGUGCAGCCUUGAAAAGGCAAGAGUUGACUUCAAGGCUUUUGGAGAUUCUCUUUCAGUUGUAGCAUUUCCUUGUGACCUUGCUAAACUUGGUUAUCUGGUUGAUUCAAGCUAAACAAUUAGACACAAAGAGAGAAUUUUGGGGGGCACAGGAGCAUAAGGGCAAUAAAGAGUACCCCUUUCCUCUGCUCAAGAUCUGAACCGACAGAGAGAGAAGACCAAGGAGUAAGGGAGAUGGAGACCGAAAUAUCGCUUUUAUGAGCGUGAAGACCGGGCAUGUGUCUAUGGUUUCCUCAUGGAGAACCCCAGAAGGAAUUAGGUUUAUCUUUUCAACUGGCCCGGGGCACUGGCCUCACUCUAGAGGAGCAAAGAACCUGACAGCCUGCUCUCAAGAGGAGAUGUCUGGGGUCUUCAUGCUCAUCUCAGACUCACCAGUCAAGGGGAAGGGGCUGAGGUGUGGAGUGGAGCCCUCCACCUGGAAGGAAACAUCGGGAAUGGGAAUGGGUGCUCCUCUGACAGGACUGUCUACCUCAGUAUCUACUGAGUUCAAGAAAUAAGUGAUCCAGGUUUUACUUUGUGAAGACACAGUUUAUGGUGACAGAUUCAGAAUGAGGCGUUUCACUUUACUUGUAGGUUAAAUUGGUUUGUAUCAAUGAUCCCAUUCUUUUCUUCUAAGUCCAGAGAGUCCUGGCAACAUCAAGUCCCAUGUAUUUACAAAGAUGGAAUUAAGUAAAGAACCUUCCUUCAAUCAUUCUCUCUUCCAUCUUUCCCUAACUACUUUCAAUUUAUGACCCUAACAAUGAAUCGUAAAUAAACUGCUUCAAAGUCUUCAGCCUAAAGGAACUGAUGGGAUGGUAUUAGCAAUCACACCGUUGAUCGUGAAGUUAAGGAUGAAGGUUCAAUUUUAGCGUGCCUUAGCUUUAAAUGGAGGUAAGUUGUUCUAUUAUUACAAGCCUUGGCGCCCUUGCCCUUGCCCGGCUAUUUAACAAAUGUGUGUCCUUGUUUACCAGUGGAACCCAACUAGGGGGUAUAAAUAGCUGAGUGUGAGCCUCAAUGACUACACUUCAAACAACUCCAAGCACGUGUCCUAUCGACGGGGUGUGGAGAACGCAGGCAGCGCAAUCAGGAUGCAGAUGUUCUGAGUGAACACUUUUGGUUGUUGACAUCAAACUCUGAGUUAUAAGAACACCUGUCAAAGGCCUGUUGGAAAUUUCCUUGAAACCAGGUGGAUCGGACUGGCCCUUUAGUCCAGUUGUAGAUGCCCACUGUGGGCAGACUGAGGAAGCGACCCUCUUACCAGGGUGUGCUUGAACAAGGCCCAGGACACUAAAAAAAAAAAAAAAAUCUUGCAAUUACACUUUUCUACCACUAGAUGAUAUGCACGUAUAAGCAAGAUGAAAACCCUCCUACCUUUCCUUUCUGCAUCAGUGGCCACAGUGAUGAUAGGUAAGUUAAGGUAUCCAGAAUUCAAUUCCAGAUGUUACUAAGAAAGAGAAACACAAUAUGAACAUGAAGAACUGCCAGCAUUGAUUAGGUAAUAAGUGUGAUCAUACCAAAUUUAUCAAACACUUAUCCUUUCAUCUAGGGGCCAUCAAAGUUUACCACCUGCCUAUGGGCCAAAUCCAGUUUACCACCUCUCUUUGUAAAUAAAGUUUUAUUGGAACACAGCCAUGCUCAUUUGUCUGGGACUGAUUUUGCUCCACAAUGACAGAGAUAAAGAAAGUGAUUAAGGACACAAUGAAUCUUGGCACAUACGUUACAUGACUGUAGCAGACAUACAUGACAAAGGCUAGUUUAGGUAACUAACUGCCUCAGAGUCAUACAUCAUGAGGCGGAGAGGGGAGAAUCAGGAACUGGGUGAACCAACUUAAUCCUUUGUCCCACAUGAAGAGAAGGGACCGUAUUGCCUAGAUUCCAAGGGUUUUCCACAUGGACAUGCCCCAAGCUCCUUCUCUCCCCUUCCUUUGCUCCAAGAAGACCUCUUCUAUUGUUUGUCCACAUUUUGAUGUCCUCUUUUCUUAGGAUAGAUACCCCAUCAUCCCUACAGAAAAGGAAGGUGCACUGGACUGUUCCUUCCACUCAAUCUUUGUUGACUCUAAGAAAGGAGCAGACCAUCGACUGGUGUUAGCCCAUCAGUCAUCACCGUUCUCAGCUCAGCCGCCAGGAGAUGAAUGAGUUAGAUUCAACUGUCAUUGAAGCCCUUCGAUAGACAUCACCUCACUCAGAGGUCACAGC